rnacentral:rRNA from 1 species
AGUGGCGGACGGGUGAGUAACGCGUGAGAAUCUGCCUUGGGGUCGGGGACAACCACUGGAAACGGUGGCUAAUACCGGAUAAGCCGAUUGGUGAAAGAUUUAUUGCCCGAAGAGGAGCUCGCGUCUGAUUAGCUAGUUGGUGAGGUAAGAGCUCACCAAGGCAGCGAUCAGUAGCUGGUCUGAGAGGACGAUCAGCCACACUGGGACUGAGACACGGCCCAGACUCCUACGGGAGGCAGCAGUGGGGAAUUUUCCGCAAUGGGCGAAAGCCUGACGGAGCAAGACCGCGUGAGGGAGGAAGGCUCUUGGGUUGUAAACCUCUUUUCUCAGGGAAGAAGCUCUGACGGUACCUGAGGAAUCAGCCUCGGCUAACUCCGUGCCAGCAGCCGCGGUAAUACGGAGGAGGCAAGCGUUAUCCGGAAUUAUUGGGCGUAAAGCGUCCGCAGGUGGCGAUUCAAGUCUGCUGUCAAAGCACGGGGUUUAACUCCGUAAAGGCAGUGGAAACUGAAUAGCUAGAGUGCCGUAGGGGUAGAGGGAAUUCCCGGUGUAGCGGUGAAAUGCGUAGAGAUCGGGAAGAACAUCGGUGGCGAAAGCGCUCUACUGGACGGCAACUGACACUCAGGGACGAAAGCUAGGGGAGCGAAUGGGAUUAGAUACCCC